AAUGAACGUUGGCGGCAGGCUUAACACAUGCAAGUCGAACGAAAAGCAAUCUUCGGAUUGUGGAUUCGUGGCGGACGGGUGAGUAUAACAUGGAAAUCUACCGAGCAGUGGGGGAUAACAGUUGGAAACGACUGAUAAUACCGCAUACGCCAUAUUGGGAAAACUAAGGUGCUGUUCGAUGAGUCCAUGCUGGAUUAGCUAGUUGGUGAGGUAAAGGCUCACCAAGGCUCCGAUCCAUAGCUGGUUUGAGAGGAUGAUCAGCCACACUGGGACUGAGACACGGCCCAGACUCCUACGGGAGGCAGCAGUGAGGAAUAUUGCACAAUGGAGGAAACUCUGAUGCAGCCAUGCCGCGUGAAUGAAGAAGGUUUUAGGAUUGUAAGGUUCUUUCAGUGGUGAGAAUAGUGAUGUUAACCACAGAAGAAGUCCCGGCUAACUCCGUG
rnacentral:rRNA from 1 species